ACAAGUAGAAGUUAACCUAAGACCGUCACGACCUGUGACAACAAUUAACUGACCUGCAUCGUGCAGG
rnacentral:sRNA from 1 species